rnacentral:snoRNA from 1 species
AUGCAUCUGACAGCCCUGGAGCAGUAGUAUCUGCUACUAAGGUUUCCACCACAGUGGCAAGAAAAAUAAGGUUCUUGUGCUUUCUGUUUGUCUGGUUAUAGCAGCCAAGAUUGAAUGGGGGAAUACAAAA